rnacentral:rRNA from 1 species
GAUGAACGCUAGCGGCAGGCUUAAUACAUGCAAGUCGUGGGGCAGCAGGUUUGUAGCAAUACAGAUGCUGGCGACCGGCAAACGGGUGCGGAACACGUACAGAACCUUCCUUUGAGCGGGGAAUAGCCCAGAGAAAUUUGGAUUAAUACCCCAUAGUAUAAUGAAGUGGCAUCACUUUAUUAUUAAAGAUUUAUCACUCGAAGAUGGCUGUGCGGCUGAUUAGGUAGUUGGCGGGGUAAAGGCCCACCAAGCCUGCGAUCAGUAACUGGUGUGAGAGCACGACCAGUCACACGGGCACUGAGACACGGGCCCGACUCCUACGGGAGGCAGCAGUAAGGAAUAUUGGUCAAUGGAGGCAACUCUGAACCAGCCAUGCCGCGUGGAGGAUGAAGGUCCUCUGGAUUGUAAACUUCUUUAUAUGGGACGAAAAAAGGCUUUUCUAAGUCGUCUGACGGUACCAUAUGAAUAAGCACCGGCUAACUCCGUGCCAGCAGCCGCGGUAA